rnacentral:lncRNA from 1 species
AAGAAGGUGAGUUACAUAGCAAUGCCGAUGGUGGUCACAACUGUUUCCCAGUACAUGUUAAGGGUUAUUUCCAUGAUGAUGAUUGGCCACCUGGGUGAGCUCUCUCUGUCUGGUGCCUCCAUCGCCACUUCUCUUACCAACGUCACUGGCUUCAGUCUUCUGGUAUAUACCCUUAUCAUCAUAUUCACAUUUCCUAUAGAGUGAUUUACAAAAUUAAUUUGAAAAUAACUUGCACAUAUGCCGAUCAGUUUGGGAUGUCAAGUGCACUGGAAACACUUUGUGGCCAAGCUUAUGGAGCAGAACGAUACCAGAUGUUAGGAAUCUAUACCUAUGGAGCCAUCAUAUCUCUACUUUUAGUUUGUAUACCAAUAUCUGUUCUAUGGAUCUUCACAGAAAGACUACUUAUUUUGAUCGGUCAAGACCCUUUAAUCUCACAUGAAGCUGGCAAUUAUUCAAUUUGGCUUAUUCCCACCCUAUUUCCAUACGCAAUUCUUCAAUUGUUGAUUCGCUUCUUGUUAGCUCAAAGUUUGAUAUAUCCAAUGCUUUUAAGUUCUGUGGCAGCUUUAGUGUUCCACAUACCUAUAUCAUGGCUGCUAGUAUUCAAGUUUAAGAUUGGAAGUGCCGGGGCAGCACUAGGCAUCGGUUUGUCAUAUUGGCUUAAUGUUGUCUUGCUUGGAAUUUAUGUCAAGUAUGCAUCAUCAUGUGAAAAGACUAGGAUCUCAUUCUCACAGCAUGUCUUUCCAAGCAUUAGAGAAUUUUUCCGACUGGGCAUACCUUCUGCUAUCAUGAUAUGGUAAUUAUAAUCACCAUUAUAUCCUGAUUAUAUCCUGUAAUUAGGUCUAAUUAUACAUACUGUUAACGAACAGUCUUGAGUGGUGGUCGUAUGAGCUUGUUAUAUUGCUCUCUGGCCUUUUGCCUAAUCCUCAACUUGAAACAUCAGUCCUGUCAAUAUGGUAAUUCUCUUAUUCAUUCUAUAGCAUAUAAUAUGAGCUUGAACUGUGCUAUAACUCUAUAAUAGCUUCUGUUUAUUUGGCAUUUGACCGAUAGUCUUGUAGUCUCUUCACUUCACUACUUCAUACCAUACUCUUUUGGUGCUGCUGCAAGGUACAUCCCAGAACUUGAUGUUUGUGCAUUAAAUUUUUUUAAUUUUUUGUUUUGGCUAAUAUUCUAAUUAUGUAAUUCUUGAAUGUGUAUAUUGAACAUGAUAUAGCACUCGAGUCUCGAAUGAAUUAGGUGCAGGGCAUCCAGAGGCAGCUAGCCUGGCUGCUUGGGUUGCAUCAUUUCUUGCGGUUAUAGAGGGGGUCACUGCAAGUGCAAUUCUUUUUAGCUGCAGGUCUGUACUGGGAUAUGCUUUCGGGGAAGAGAAAGAAUUGGUUGAUUAUGUCAAAGAUAUGGUUCCCCUUUUGAGUCUUUCUGUUCUGAUGGACUGCUUAGCAGCACUGUUUUCUGGUUUGCAUCUUUCUUCUCUCUGUUUCUUAAAUAUUUUAAUGUCGUUUGGCCUUUUGUUUGACAACUUGUAAACAUAAUUUUGUCAAAGACCACCUGUCUGAUUGCUAAAGCGAAUUUACUUUACUAGAUAACUAAAUUUGAUGGCAAUGUAUCUUCUCUGAAUCAGGGGUUGCUAGAGGAGUUGGGUGGCAGCAUCUAGGAGCAUAUGUGAACCUUGGAGCAUUUUUUCUGUGUGGAAUUCCGAUGGCAUGUGUGUUGGCUUUCGUUUUUCAUUGGAGAGGGAAGGGCCUUUGGACAGGUUUAACUACUGCUUCUUUGCUGCAAGGUUUGAUGCUUAUGAUGAUAACAUUCUUCACAAACUGGAAGAAGCAGGUUUGUUGCUAGUAAAAUUACAUAUACUUAUUGCUUUUUACAUUCUUUUUUGCUUAUUGGAAUAUGUUCUCGUCUUAAUAUCAGAAAUAUGCAGAAGCUGAUGAACUGAAUAUUCUAACAUAUGGUUCUGUAGGCAAGAGCGGCAAGGCAGAGGACAAUUGAGGGGCGAUCUCAGCUAACAAUUGAAUAAGUAAACACUUCAUUAUAAGGCUUCUAAUAAAAGUUUUCUUGGAAGAAGCUGUCCUAUUUCCUAAGAUGGCACCAGUGCACCGUAAAAAAGGUUUAAAGGAGCAAUCCCUUCUCUGAAAUUUUAUGAUCUGAAUAUGCAGUUGUGAAUUGAAUUAGAAAUAGAUUCACAUUUUGCUGGAUGCAAAUGUGUUGGAAGUUUGUAUCGUUUUUCUUAUUUGAUAAAAAUGGCCGUCCUCCACUGGAACUGUUUCACGCUAUGUUCAACACUAUUUGUAUAACAUUGUUCUGCACUGUUCUCAGGCUAAAAUAUGUUCUCCAUAGAGGGCGACCUUAUAUAUGUGAGUCUCUACGCUAGUGUAUAUAAGAAUUUACUGUCCAGAUCUCCGGUGGUGCCCCGUCUGCUGUCAUGGUAAUAUUAACCGCGUUAUAAAUGUUGAGGCAGCAGUUAGGUUUCUUAAGUGCAUCGUCAGUCAGGUGCAAAGUUAAGGCACAUCAUGGGCAUUGAACUUAAAAGCCAGUCACAGAAAAUUCCAGUUUCAUUUUCUGGAGGGACCUCCUUCAAAUGAUCAUGACCGGAUGACAUGAUCAUCAAUCCUCGUAUGUUAAUAGCACUACAGCUAUCAAACUUUUAUAUAAUCAAGAUAGAUUGAACCUAUCCAAUUUUUACAGUGCGAUGGUUGGUUGUUCACGGCCUAGCUGACUGUGAUUAUUAGUAUGUGGUUGCAGUUAUAGACUACAAUUGUAUUUGUAAUCAAGUCGAUACCUAAAAAAAUGCUCAAAAAAUUCUAAAUCUGCAGAAUCAGAUUUGUUAUCCUAAGUCUUAAAAUUUAUUUUAAUAUGUUAACAAAAUGAAUAUCUAGAGUAGUUUAUAUUAGUAACAAAACUGAUAUUAAUUUCAUUCAAAGAAAUGACUCCUCUGCCAAGUCUUUCAGUUAUGGUGGAUUACUUCUGGAAGAUCCCAGCUGUCAUGCCAGCUAUGUGCUGACUUGGCACUUCCCUUGAUCUUGCUGCUUAGAGUGAUAAGAGAAUCUCCAAUGGUUUACAUCCUUCAAGUGGUGUCAACUUUGUCACAUAAUCAAAUAUAAUAUUUUUAAUUAUAUUAUCUUUUUUAAAAAACACCGCAAUGGUUGGCACUCCAAGAUGCCAACUUUACCUAACUUGUCUUAUACAUUAUUGGGUUCAUAAAAUGAAGUUGGCACCCUACUCCGUGGGAUGCCAACUUUUGGCAUCUCAAGUUGGCAGUUGGCACUUGGCACCCCAUGCCACUUCAUUAGGCACUCCGAUGAUAUCCCUAUACUCCAACAGAGUGCUAACAAGGGUUUUCUGCCACGUCAUGCCACAUAGCGUCCCUUCUUGACACUCAUUGUUUAUCUGUAUCCUAAACUUCAAUAGAGUGCUAACAAGAGUAUUUUGGCACGUUAUGCCACAUAGCGUCCCCUCCUGGCACCCAUUGUUAUCUGUAUGUGUUUGGUUUGUUUGUGAAAGAUAGGAUUGGAAGCAAUGCCUAACGCACUCUUAUUGUAACAAAACAGAGGAACUGGUGUCAAUUUUUUGAGACCAAGUUUCAGCAAGUAAAUUAACGACCCAAGCGAGUUCACGAGAGACAUAUCCAAAGGCUCUAUAUUCUGCCUCAGCAGAGGAACGAGACACAAUUGGUUCUUCACCGAUUGCAAGAAGCAUAAAGAUUUUUCGAUCAACGAUAGCGUCUUCUUUUAUGAACAUACGACAAGAGAAUUAUUGGUUCACACAAUUAUUGCUUCACACUCUACAAUAGCAACAUUAGUCAACAAUGUCGACUAAAAAAUACCACAGAUCUGUGAUUAGAUAAUUAAACAUGAUGCACUGGGUGACGAUGGCCAUCGGUGAGAUGCAAUCACAGUAUUUUGGUUAGAAUAUCUUGCAAAAAUUUAAAAUCGAAUAAGAGUUCACUUUCUUUGAGUUUAGUACUGUAACUUAUUAUUGAGUACGAAAGUAUGUUGCAGCAGUCGUGUUAGAUAUUGUGUGCAAAUGAAAGUGGCAACUGAGUACUACUCAUUAUUGUUGAAUAUUCUCUUGGGCUGUCUCGGGUAGCUACCCUAUCCACUUGCUUACUUGUAUGAAAAGAAAACAAUACAGAGAGAACUGAGACACUGAAGAUGGAACAACCACUGCUUGAGACGACACAGGACCACCACGAAAGUCGAGGAGAGGCGUUGGAAGCAUUGUCGUCAUCAUCAUCAUUAGCGAAAAGAUGGGAGGUACUGGUAAUGGGAGAAAUGAAGAAGGUGAGUUACAUAGCAAUGCCGAUGGUGGUCACAACUGUUUCCCAGUACAUGUUGAGGGUGAUUUCCAUGAUGAUGAUAGGCCACCUCGGUGAGCUCUCUCUGUCCGGUGCCUCCAUCGCCACUUCUCUUACCAACGUCACUGGUUUCAGUCUUCUGGUAUAUACCCUUAUCGUCAUAUUAACAUUUUUUAAUAAGUUUACUAAAUUAAUUUACAUAGGAGAAAUGCACUUUGAAAAAUCUAAGUUUGGUUAUUGUAUGGUUGCACCAUAAACUAGAUGAACACGAAGAUUAUAAUGUAAAUUGAUGAUAACUUGCACUUAUGCCAAUUAGUUUGGGAUGUCAAGUGCACUGGAAACACUCUGUGGCCAAGCUUAUGGAGCAGAGCGAUACCAGAUGUUAGGAAUCUAUACCUAUGGAGCCAUCAUAUCUCUCCUUUUAGUCUGUAUACCGAUAUCUAUUCUAUGGAUCUUCACAGAAAAACUUCUUCUUUUGAUUGGUGAAGACCCUUUAAUCUCACACGAAGCUGGCAAUUACUCGAUUUGGCUUAUUCCCAACCUGUUUCCAUACGCAAUUCUUCAAUUGUUGAAUCGCUUCUUGUUAGCCCAAAGUUUGAUAUAUCCAAUGCUUCUAAGUUCUGUUGCAGCUUUUGUUUUCCAUGUACUUAUAUCUUGGAUGCUAGUAUUCAAGUUUGAUUUGGGAAGUGCUGGAGCAGCGCUAGGCAUCGGUUUGUCAUAUUGGCUUAAUGUCAUCUUGCUUGGAAUUUAUGUGAAGUACGCAUCAUCGUGUGAAAAGACUAGGAUCUCAUUCUCAAAAGAUGUCUUUCCAAGCAUCAGGGAAUUUUUUCGACUGGGCAUCCCUUCUGCUAUCAUGAUAUGGUAGUCAUAAUCACCCUUACAGUUACUUUUUACUUUGAAAUGACCAGUAGGGCCUAAUUAUAUAUACUGUCAACAAACAGUCUUGAGUGGUGGUCGUAUGAGCUUGUUAUAUUGCUUUCUGGGCUUUUGCCAAAUGCUCAGCUUGAAACUUCAGUCCUGUCAAUAUGGUAAAUCUCUUUUCCAUUCAAUUAUAGCAUAUGGUAUGAGCUUGAACUGGUGUGAUAAAUCGAUAAUAGCUUCUGAUUAUUUGGCAUAUGACCAAUAGCUUUGUAGUCUCUUCACUUUACUACUUCAUACCAUAUUCUUUUGGUGCUGCUGCCAGGUAUGUCUCAGAACUUGAUGUUUGUACAUUGAAUUCAUUUCAUUUGGCUAAUAUUCUGAUCAUGUAAAUCUUUAAUGUGUAUAUUGAACAUGAUAUAGCACUCGAGUCUCUAAUGAAUUAGGUGCAGGGCAUCCAGAGGCAGCCAGACUGGCUGCUUGGGUUGCAGCAUUUCUCGCGGUUAUAGCAGGGGUCACUGCAAGCGCAAUUCUUUUUAGCUGCAGGUCUAUACUGGGAUAUGCUUUCGGGGAAGAGAAAGAAUUGGUUGAUUAUGUCAAAGAUAUGGUUCCUCUUCUGGCUCUUUCCGUUAUGAUGGACUGCUUAGCAGCACUGUUUUCUGGUUUGCAUCUGUCUUGUCUCCAUUUCAUAAAUAUUUUAAUGUCGUUUUGCAUCUUGUGACAACUUGUAAACAAAAAAGACCACCUGUCUAAUUACUAUAGUAACUAAAUUUUAUGACAAUGUAUCUUGUCUGAAUCAGGGGUUGCUAGAGGAGUUGGGUGGCAGCGUCUGGGAGCAUAUGUGAAUCUCGGAGCAUUUUUUGUGUGUGGAAUUCCAAUGGCAUGUGUGUUGGCUUUCGUUUUUCAUUGGAGAGGGAAGGGGCUUUGGACAGGUUUAACUACUGCAUCAUUGCUGCAAGGUUUGAUGCUUAUGAUGAUAACAUUAUUCACAGAUUGGAAGAAGCAGGUUUGUUGCUAGUAAAAUUACAUAUAGCUGUUGCUUUUAAAUAUGUUGUUGUUUUGAUCAUAGAAAUAUGCAGAAACUGAUGAACUGAAUAUUGUAUAACAUGGUUUUGGCAGGCUAGAGAGGCGCGGCAGAGGACAAUUGAGAGUAGAUCUCAGCUAACAGUUGAAUAAAACACUUCAUUCUAAGGCUUCUAAUAAAAGUUUUCAUGGAACUUACUGUACUAAUUCCUAAUUUGGCACCAUAGGAAAAGGCCUAGAGGUGCAAUUUUGUGACCUGAAUAUGCAGUUGCGAGUUGGAAGUUUGUAUCGUUUUUCUUAUUUAAUAAAGAUAGUCAUCCUCCGUUGUAAUUAUGUUUUGGCGAUGUGCAACACUUUUUGUAUAAAUUUGUUCUGCAUUGUUCUAGGACUAAAUAUGUUCUUCAUAGAGAGCGACUUUAUGCAUGUGUCUCUACGACUCUACUCUCGUGUUCUCAGUCAAUAGAAUGAUAAAUUGUAUAUGAGAACUCCCUAUCCAGAUCUCGAGUGGUGCUCCGUUUGCUGUUAUAGUGAUAUUAACCCCGUUAUACUGUGUUGGGGCAGCAGCUUGGUUCUUGCGUGCAUCAUAUGAACAGAGGGUCAGCACUCAGCCAGUCUGCUGCAAAGCUAAGGCACAUUAUUAAAAAUUGUGUAAUAGUACGUAUGAUCAUGAUUAAUCCUUGUUUCGUAACUCGUUGAACCGAUUAAAUCUCCUAUUAUUCACAUUAAUCUCCGAUCAGUUCAAUUAAUCUCUGAUUAGUUCUUACUUUGUGUUUUUGUUGAUUAAGUAUGAUUUUCACUUUUACAGGACUGAUGUUGAUACUAUGAUAGUAUGUGCUUGUAAUUGAGAUUAGAAUUAUUACCGCGCUUGUGAUUGAGAUUAAAAUUAUGAUAACUUACAUUAGUCGGGUUGAACAGCUGAUUUAUGUUUUUGCUGAUUAAGUCCAAUUUUCGCUUUUACAGGAAUGAUAGUAUAUGCAUGUAAUUGAGAUGAAAAUUAUGAUAAUUUACACCAGUAGGGCUGAACAGAACCUCAAGGUGUCGGAUGAAGGCCGCAACGGAAAAUCCAGAGGCAGUUAGGUUGGCUGCUUGGGUUGGUAAAUGAAUAGCAAGUAAGAUAUAUAUAGAUGGAUCGUGUGUGAGAAAUAGAAAAAGGGAGGUCGAAAAGGGCGGGAAGCGAGCGAAGAAGCGAAUCAACGGGGAGAGAAAAGAAAGAACAUAGGCCUGGUUUGUAGGGGAAGUGAAGCUGGACCCAACAUGGGAAUUUGCAAAACUCUCACUCCUCCCAUUUUCUCUCUCUUCUUUUCUUUGAGAACCCUAGCUCUCUACUUCUUCCUUAAUUCUUUCAGGUAUGCAUCUCCCUCUUUUCUAUCUUUCCUUUCUAAAAUUAGUAUAUGCCUAAUGCAUGUUUCUUCAUUAUGUUUCUAUGAUGCACGCAAAGUGUUUGAUUGUAUUUCUCAAUGAUGGAAUGAUGUUACAGGAGCACUGGAUUAAAUAUUAGUCCGCGAGAAGCUAGGGGAGAGCUGGUUGGGUUCUCCAAGAGGGUGAGGCUGAAUAAUUUUUAUUGUAGAAAGUGGCUCAAGGAGGAAUUGAAGCUUUUGUUGUGAAUUGAUUCAUGUCAUUUUCUUGAUUGAGUUUUCCUUUAUAUGGCUUCAUCCCCAGAGAAAUCUCCCUCUGGAAAAGCUGAUUCUUCUGGUUCAUCACCACCUUCGAAUACUCCUAAAUCAGGCUCUCCUCCUUCCCCUCCUUCGCAAUCAUCUCCUCCUGCGUCCCCGCCUGCUCAAAAGUCACCUCCACCUUCCCCGCCUGCGCAAAAGUCACCUCCACCAGCAUCUCCCCCGCCUAGCAACAAAUCCCCUCCGUCUUCUCCUCCGCCUUCCUCACCACCUCCUUCCCCAUCCUCGCCACCUCCUUCCUCUCCUCCACCUUCAUCGUCGUCUUCACCACCGCCAUCUAAGGAAAAUAAUUCACCUCCUCCGCCAUCUGAAUCCAAAAACUCACCUCCAGCUUCACCGCCACCAUCUUCGGGUGCUGCCUCUCCGCCGCCACCGUCUACGCCAUCAACUCCCAAUGCUUCACCCCCGCCUUCCACAGGGAAGGCUACACCCACACCGCCUUCAGCAAGUGAUGGUACACCCACGCCGCCUUCCUCAAGUAAACCUGCGCCCACACCAGCAGGUAUUUUUACUCCGCCAGCCAGUCUCAAUGCGCCAUCAACCCCGGGAUCUCCGAGUCUACCACCACCUCAGCAAUCGUCUUCAGGUGGCUCAUCUUAUAACGCAGCAGUUAUUGCAGCAGCAGCCAGUGGGGGUGCACUAGUUCUUGCUGUUGUGGUUGUUGCUCUGCUAUGCGUGUUGAGAAGAAGGAGAAAAUCUUCUUAUUAUGAUCCUGCUACAAGAAAUUAUUCUGGAGGUAAUGCAUAUAUAAAAAUAGUCUAUUUUAUUAUUUAAUUAGAGAGUUCAUAAAAUCUUGGGGUUUUUUCACAAAUACCCAAGUCUAGAUUUUUUUUGUAAAAAUACUGUAAAUUUUGUCAAAAAAUUGCAAAAAUACUAUCUUUCAAAUAAAAUUUGUAAAAAUACUAUGUUUCAAAUAAAAUUUGCAAAAAUACGGAGGUUGCAUUUGCAACAAUAUCUGCAACUGUUAGCAAAUAUAUAUGCAACCACAAAUACGACUUUAAAAAAAUCUAUUGAAAAUUACAUUUAAUUUUAUAAUAAGUUGCAAGUGGUUGCAAAUGGUAAAAAUUAAUGCCCUUGCGGUUCUAGUAUUAAUAAACUACAGAUCAUCAACCAUUACAUAUGGAGCAACUGACUGAUAAGUCUAUAAGUUCGCAUGUCUUGUUUGCAGGUGGUGCACGUCGGGAAGGUAUUGGGGAACAUGUUGUCAAGCUUCCACCGUCCGGGGUUAUGGUGCCACCCCGUGCUGGAUGGGGACCACUGCAAUCUUCUCCACCCAGCAAUAUUAAUAGCCCCGGCUUCUCUGAUCACCCACACCAGUUGCCUAUAUCUCCAUUGAAUUUUGGUAAGAGCCAGUUCACAUAUGACGAGCUAGCCAAUGCAACUGGGGGAUUUUCUCAAUCGGAUAUUAUAGGACAAGGGGGAUUUGGGCAUGUCUAUAAAGGUGUGUUGCCUAAUGGCCAGCAGGUAGCGGUAAAGACCUUAAAGUCAGGAAGUGGGCAAGGUGAGAGGGAAUUUCAGGCUGAAGUUGAAAUUAUUAGCCGCGUCCAUCAUCGUCACCUUGUGUCGCUUGUUGGAUAUUGUAUUUAUAAAGAGCAGAGAAUGUUGGUCUAUGAAUUUGUUCCGAAUCGCACCUUGGAAUUCCAUCUUCAUGGUAAGCAAUCUUUAGUAGUGCGACUGUGCAAUUUCUAAGCUUGUUUGUAUCAUAUUUUAUUAUUAUUGCUCCAGGUAUGGUCAUUGCUUUGUUGAGUACUAUAAUAUAUUAUGAAGCUCGCUUACACCACAGUGAUCUCAAAUCUUAACAUUGUCCUUUUUAUGAUAUUGCUUUGUAUUACUUGUAGUGCUUAGAACCAUUUAAUGACAACUAUAAUUGAUCCUUAUAAAUAUAAAAUAUUAAUCAUCAUGGAAAGACUUUUGCUUGUUUUCUAAUACUUGGUAUUGUGAACCCUUAGUGCUGAUAUUGGGUAUGCAGGGAAAGGCCAGCCAGUUAUGGACUGGAAGACUAGGCUCCGAAUCGCCAUUGGAUCAGCCAAGGGACUUGCUUAUCUUCAUGAAGAUUGUAUGACUUAAUAACUUUGCACGUUUAUUAGUAUUUACUAAUAUUUCCUCUUUUUUCUUGACACAUAUUGAUGAUCUCUUGCAGGCCACCCUAAAAUUAUCCAUCGCGACAUCAAAGCAGCCAACAUUCUCCUUGAUAAUAACUUUGAAGCUAUGGUAAUAUUUAUAACUGGUACACCUAACUGUACCAUGCUAAUUUUUAGUUAUUAUAGUGGUUAAGAUUUUGUGCAAGUAAAAUAAUUGAUUUAAGUGAUUCUUUCGCAAAGGUUGCAGAUUUCGGAUUGGCUAAAUUUACUAAUGACAAUAUCACUCAUGUCUCCACGCGCGUUAUGGGAACUUUUGGGUAACAUAUUCAGUCAUAAACUAAUUAAUUAUUCUGAUUAUAGUUAUGUUAAUUAGCAGUAUCAUCACCAUGUUUGUGCAGGAUAGUGCAUUUUGAAAUUUGUUGACUUCUGUUUAUCGGAGAUUUUUCACCUAGAAUGGGGAUUAUGCAGGUACAUGGCUCCGGAAUAUGCAUCAACUGGGAAACUGACAGACAAGUCUGAUGUUUUUUCAUUUGGUGUCAUGCUCUUGGAAUGCAUAACUGGAAGGAGACCCAUUGAUCCCAAUAACUAUAUGGAAGACAGUCUAGUCGAUUGGGUAUGAUGCACUGGGUCUUCUAAAAUUGUGUGGUUACUUGUAAUUAUCGACUGUAAUACUUUUCCAAUGUAUUCUUAGAGAGUAUUGAAUAUGUUACUGUCAUGUAUUAAUUUAAAAAUAAACAUUUGUUUUGGGAACUUAAUGGAUUACAGGCGAGGCCUCUUAUGUCAAGAGCUUUGGAAAGUGGUGAUUAUGGUGAACUAGUGGAUCCACGUUUAGAUGGUAAUUAUGAUCCUCAGGAAUUGGCACAUAUGGUAUCCGCAGCAUAUUCUAGCAUUCGUCAUUCUGCUAGAAUGCGUCCUAAGAUGAGCCAGGUACAACUUCUCACAAACAAACACUACUUCACAUAUUAAUCCAACACGUACAAGUUAUGUCCUAAUCUGCGGUUAUAUAUACUUUUGAAAACAGAUUGUGCGCACAUUGCAAGGAGAUGCUGAUGACGACAUAACAAAACAAGGCCAGGGUCUUGGAGAAACUGAUAUCUACAAUACAAGUGCAUACAAUGCUGAUAUGUUGAGAUUUAAACAGAUGGUAAUGAACAGCCAAGAAUUUUCAAGCAGCGAAUUUGGAGAUGCCACAGGUGAGUACAGACGGAGAAACUCUGAUAAAGAUUAUCAUUCUGGAAAUUCGCACAAAGUAUAAGACAAUAUGGAAGCAAGAAAAAGCUGCCUGACCUUAAGGCCCCGAGACUGAAAUGCUAAUCAGGGUGGGUUCCAAAUCCCUCGUGGAUGUGACUAAGGUGUAUACGGCAACUUCUCUUUCUUGGGUCUAGAUUGGAACGUGAAUUUGAAUGAAUCAAUCUAACAGACAAGGGAGAACACAAGCGUGAUCAAAAGCGCUCAGUGGGUCGUGUGUAAGUGACAAACUAUUCGUAAUUCUUGUGUGGAUUGUACCAAUCAUGAUAAUCAAUGAAUGAUAUAUUAGUUAGGUUUUUCCCAUGCACUGUGAUUCAAGUACUACCUGUAAAUUCCAGCUCCCCAAAUGUUAUGUCAAGUUAAUUUACCAGGAACUCCCUCUCUUUUUUAUUUUUUUAUUUUUUUACAUGACGUUUGAUUUUUUGUUCACAUUUUAAUCUGUUUUGACCGGGUUCUAAUAAUAAUUUUUUGAAAAAAAUUUAAAAAUAAUAAUAAUUUUAUGACCCGGUCAAAACACAUUGAAAUGUAUGUAAAAAAUUAGACGCAAAGAAAAUAGAGGGAGGAGCAAAGAAAAUAGAGAGAAUGUCGACCAAAGUUGCACUCUUUCAAAUAAUAAAACUACUAUAUAUAUUUUCAUUGAAAAGGUAUGCAUCUUCAAACCUGAUUAUAAUUAUAUUUAUUUGAACAUAUAUGACAAUUUUGAGUGUUAAAAUUUUAUUAGAAAAGUGCUAAAAUAUUGUCGAAGUUAAAAAAUAUAUAACAGAUUUCACCUUAUAUAUUAACAUAUCUGAUGGCAUCCUCUUUUAAAUACAUUUUUAAUUUUUAAUGCCAUAUAAUUUUUUGGGGCUAUUUUCGGUACUUCGCGGUCAUCCAGACUUCGCGUUAAUUUUCACAGGUGACAUAAUAAAUUCAUUAUGAAAUAUUCAUUUUCAAUCAUUAAAAUAUACGAAUGUAUACUUCCUGACAAUGAUCUGACAGAAUAAACUAGAAGGAAAAUGCUAGGGACCCCAAAAAAUUGUCCCAAAUUUUUUUCCCAAAUGAGAUGUCUAAUCCUGAUUGGUUGCAUUUACUUCCAAAAUAACGAGGCCCCCUUGUAGAUUCAUCCAUCACCCAAUCAUAACUCUCCACUUGUUUACCACAUCAUUUGGUAACAAUUUUUGGGAAAAUCUUUUGGGGUUCCGAAAAAAGUUGAGCGAGCAUAUAAAAGUUAACAUGUACACGUUAGUCGUUAAUCUAUUCUAUGAUUUUCUUUCCACUUGAAUGGUUAAUCUUAUGGCUAUCAAGUUUUGCGUUUGUGAGGUGAUCUGGAUAACGAGAAAUGAGAAAUAAGUAUAUCUUUCAACAUUUUGAUACUAUAUUAAUAACAUGAUAUUAUGUUGAGAAUCAAUUCAUCUAAAACGUCAAGGUGGUAGAGAAAGGUAUCAAAUGAAUGUUAUUGAACCUGCUUUACCAUACUCAAACUCAACAUGAUUUAAGUAUUCAAGAUCAACAUCUAAACUUUACCACGUCUGUUUUCAGUGAAUAUAGUGAUGAAAAUUAUAACAACAAAAUGCAGAUCUCAUAUCUUUGGUGACGCACAGCAGUUGGAUUUUCUAGCAUGAUAGAUUGGUCAGUUUCGUCAUCUGUAUAAUCAUAUACUUGAUGCCCAUGAUUUCUUGUAGAUUUUGAACUAAAUUUAUUAGAAUAAUAUACGAUCCAAUCAACAAAAAUCAGCAACUAGCCACUCAUUUAACAGUGUUACUCGGUUAUAGUAAAACAUAGUAUAUACCUGCUGCAUAAUAUAAAAAAACAUUAAAAUCUUAUCUAAGAGCGGCAGCUCAUCAAUCCCUUAUUCACUUUGUCUGUUGUCUCUGGCUAGUUAGCUAGUUACUAAUAAUUUUCAGAGCUGAGAGAGGCGGGAGAGAAGAGAAAUGGAAGAGCCACUGCUCGCGACAGCAAAUAAUGGUCUUAAAAGCCGAGUACCAAGAAGAUGGGAGGUGAUAGCAAAAGAGGCGAAGAAGGUGAGUUACAUAGCAUUGCCUAUGGUGGUCACUACUGUUUCCCAGUACAUGGUGAGGGUCAUUUCCAUGAUGAUGAUUGGCCACCUUGGUGAGCUCUCUCUUUCGGGUGCUGCCAUUGCCACUUCUCUCACAAAUGUCACAGGCUUUAGUCUUCUGGUAUGUUAUUAACAUCUACAUCUUUAAUUACUGGAGUUCUGUAUCGUAUCUUAACAGGCCUGUUUUUUUCCAUUGUUUCAUUAGCUUUGUCGUAAUUAAAUCCUUAGACAAUUGCUUAGUAGAAGUCAUUGUUGCUCAUCUAGGUUCCAGUGUCUGACUAAGCUCUGUCAGUACCGUAAUUAUGGGAUCUUGAAUCCUCAGACAAUUGCUUAGUACGUUAUUGUUGCUCAUCUAGGUUCCAGUGUCUGACUAAGCUGUCAUUACCAUAAUUAUGAGAUCCCAAAACAAAAACAAAAAAUACAAUACGACGUACAUUAAUUUAUACUGUCCCAUCUUCCCAUAAACAAAUUGUACACACUUCAAAUUCUGAUAAAAUGUUCAUUCGAUUAAGGACUUGCAGGAUAAAUGUCAUUCGGUUGAGGAUAUAUUGACAAUUUGUCAUCUUACUCUGUUUGGAUUCUUAUAGAACUUGCUUUGUAUGCAUGCCAAUCAGUUUGGGAUGGCGAGUGCACUAGAAACUCUGUGCGGUCAAGCUUAUGGAGCAGGACAAUACCAUAUGCUAGGAACCUAUACUUAUGGAGCCAUUAUUUCUCUCCUUCUAGUCUGCAUACCAAUAUCUAUUCUAUGGAUCUUCACAGAAGAACUUCUUAUAAUGAUCGGUCAAGACCCUUUAAUCUCACACGAAGCUGGCAUUUACACAAUUUGGCUUAUUCCCACACUAUUUCCAUACGCAAUUCUUCAACUGUUGGUUCGCUUCUUGCUGGCACAGAGUUUGUUAUAUCCAAUGCUGUUAAGUUCUGUUGCAGCUCUAGUUUUUCACAUACCUCUAUCUUGGGUGUUAAUAUUCAAGCUGAAAUUUGGAAGUGGAGGGGCCGCAUUAGGCAUUGGUUUGUCAUACUGCCUUAAUGUAAUCUUGCUAGGAGUUUAUGUUAAGUACUCUUCAUCAUGUGCAAAGACCAGGAUAACCUUCUCAAGGGAUGUCUUUCCAAGCAUCAGGGAAUUUUUCCGAUUUGGCAUUCCUUCUGUCGUCAUGAUAUGGUAGUAAUUUCACCAUUUUUUCCUAUCAAUAUUGUCACAGAUUCCAUUAGAUUCUGAUUAUUGAUACUGGUAAUUAACAGUCUUGAGUGGUGGUCAUAUGAGAUUGCAAUUUUGUUAUCUGGGCUUUUGCCAAAUCCUCAACUAGAGACUUCAGUUCUGUCAAUAUGGUAUGUCAACUGAACUUGUAUUAGUAUAUGAUGGAUUUAUACUCUGAUGCCGUUUGAUUGAUCUUUGACCAAUAGUCUUACAGUCUCUUCAAUGCACUACAACAUACCAUAUUCUUUCGGUACUGGUGCAAGGUAAAAUCUUUGAGCCUAAUGCUUGCACAAUGGCAUCUAUUUGGUUAUUAUUCUGAUUAUGUGGUUUUUUCAUGUGUUUAUUGAACAUGACAUAGCACUCGAGUCUCGAAUGAAUUAGGUGCUGGGAAUGCACAGGCAGCUAAACUGGCUGCUUGGGUUGCCACAUUCCUUGCAGUUCUGGAGGGGGCCGUUGCAAGCACAAUUCUCUUUAGCUGCAGGUCUGUACUGGGAUUUGCUUUCGGGAAUGUGAAAGAAGUGGUGGAUUAUGUCAAAGAAUUAACUCCUCUGCUAAGCCUUUCAAUUAUGGUGGACUGCUUUGCAGCAAUGUUUUGUGGUUUUCAUCUCAACCCCUACUCUACUCAUGCUUUUCUAUGAAUAAUUGCAUAUUCUGCUGAUGUUCGAGGCUAAUAAAAUAUUUAAGGGUAUUUCUAGUAUGUGUCUGUGGUCACAGCCUAACAACAACUUUUUACUUAGGUGGAGCAUCGUUAUUAAUGAGAUUGGAGCCAAUAAAAAUCUGUCACCUAACUAAAAAGUGGUUGUUAGUGUAUAUCCAUUGAUAUUUAACGUAUCUUCUUUGAAUCAGCGGUUGCUAGGGGAACCGGGUGGCAGCACCUGGGAGCAUAUGUGAACCUCGGGGCAUACUAUCUUUGUGGAAACCCGAUGGCCUACGUGUUGGCAUUCGUUCUACAUUGGAGAGGGAAGGGCCUUUGGAUAGGCUUAACUACUGCUUCUUUGCUGCAAGGUUUGAUGCUUAUGAUCAUAACGUUCUUCACAGAUUGGAAGAAGCAGGUUUGUUAUGCGAUAACUAAAUUUACUUUUACCAUUCGAUAUUUCCUGCUUUCAAUAGUAUAUAAUGCAGAAGCUGAUGGGGUUUUAUAAAAUGGUGGUUGCAGACUAGAGAGGCAAGGGAGAGGAUAUUUGAGGGAAAACCUCAGCUAACUGUAGAAUGAUCAGAGCCUUUCUAAUAACUUUCUGAAAAGAGAAAUUAUGGAUCUCAUAUUGUAAGGAUUAUGAUUCAUCCAUUUAUGUUUGUAUCAAAUCAUAUUGUAGCACCACAACUGAGGACUCAAGUAUGGCGUUAGGAGCCUGACAGAGGUGAGCACUCAAUCACUUUGGUCCAAAACCCGACCAGAAUCAAAUAUAUCGAAAGUCGAAAUUUCAUUUUUUCCAGAUUGAAUCGGACCGAAAUUUCAUCAUACAGCGAGCCGGAUCGAAAUAAUUCAGUUCAGUCCGGAUCAAAAUAACAGAAUUUUUAUAAAAAUAUUUUAUAAAUAAAGCUGAAAUUUAUGAAUUACUAAAAAAAGAUUAAUUAAUUUUUUUAAUUUCACUUAAUUAAAUUUAUGAAUUAGAUAUUAUUAUUAUACAUAUAAGAUUAUAUAUAUAAAAACAAAUAAAUUAUAUAAUAUUUCAUUCGAGCUAUUCGGUCCUUACUGAAAUAAUUUUUAAAAAUCAGAUCAAACCAAAUUAUCGAAUUUUUAGAAAAUCCGAAUCGAACUCGGUUUGGUUCAGUUCAGUCUUUCGAUUCAGGCGUUGGAUUGAUUCAAUAUCGAUCAUUAAUAAAUUAAUGCUAAAAGUUUAUGAACAGCCGUGAUUGUAACUUAUUAGCAAUAUUCUCUUAUUUAAGAGCAUUUUCAAUAAUUUUGUACAUCUUCUAAACAUACAAAAACAUCAUAUUCGUAAUAAUUUGGUAUAUUGAAUAAUGUGGAAACUUCAACAUUAUUUUUUAUAUUUUAUUUUUGUUAUUUAUCUAAAGAGAAAAUUGGAUAUAGAAUAUGAGGAAAGUGAAUAUAUAUUAUAGAGCAUUCAAAUAUUCUUUUAAUAAAGAUUUUUCGUAACUUUAGGAAAAUCACACAGAUAAGUUGGAACCUAAUUGUAAACAUAUUUAUAUUCUAAAUUAAGAACUUGUUUCAAAGAAAUUAUCACAUAUAUUCCAACAAAAUUAGAUAUGUUUAUAUUUAAAAUUAAGAACUUGUUUCGAAAAGAUUAUCACAUAUAUUGUGACAUACUACUGGAGUAUGGUGUUAGAGCAUAUCCAACAGUGUCUCAAAUAUAUUCCCUAAAUAUACAACGAACGAUUCAAAUUUUAAAAAAUAAAAAUUCUAUAUUGAUAUUCAACUCGAACAAUAAUCCCUUCCCUAUUAUUAUUAUAGUAUUAAAUUCAAAUUCUAUUAACAAAAAGAUAAUAAGAAAAAUGUGAGAAAGAGNNNNNNNNNNNNNNNNNNNNNNNNNNNNNNNNNNNNNNNNNNNNNNNNNNNNNNNNNNNNNNNNNNNNNNNNNNNNNNNNNNNNNNNNNNNNNNNNNNNNNNNNNNNNNNNNNNNNNNNNNNNNNNNNNNNNNNNNNNNNNNNNNNNNNNNNNNNNNNNNNNNNNNNNNNNNNNNNNNNNNNNNNNNNNNNNNNNNNNNNNNNNNNNNNNNNNNNNNNNNNNNNNNNNNNNNNNNNNNNNNNNNNNNNNNNNNNNNNNNNNNNNNNNNNNNNNNNNNNNNNNNNNNNNNNNNNNNNNNNNNNNNNNNNNNNNNNNNNNNNNNNNNNNNNNNNNNNNNNNNNNNNNNNNNNNNNNNNNNNNNNNNNNNNNNNNNNNNNNNNNNNNNNNNNNNNNNNNNNNNNNNNNNNNNNNNNNNNNNNNNNNNNNNNNNNNNNNNNNNNNNNNNNNNNNNNNNNNNNNNNNNNNNNNNNNNNNNNNNNNNNNNNNNNNNNNNNNNNNNNNNNNNNNNNNNNNNNNNNNNNNNNNNNNNNNNNNNNNNNNNNNNNNNNNNNNNNNNNNNNNNNNNNNNNNNNNNNNNNNNNNNNNNNNNNNNNNNNNNNNNNNNNNNNNNNNNNNNNNNNNNNNNNNNNNNNNNNAUAAUAAGAAAAAUGUGAGAAAGAGUGUCCAAAAGUGAGAGUUGAAUAUUUAAUCAUUUGAAAACAAAUGAGGAAUGAGGUAGGGAUUACCUAUUUAUGAGUAAUGAAAAUUGGAUUCUAAAGAAUGAGUAGAGAUUCUGGUUGAGUGAAUUUUUGUCUAUAUUCCUCAAAUUUUAGUUAGGAUCUCGUAUGGCUAAUCCGCUCGAUGCUCUUAGAUCUCUGACAUUCGAAUUUUGUCAUUUACUCCCUUCGUCUCAAUAUAAAUGCCCUUUUUAUCUUUUGACUAGUCAAAUGGAUUACACUUUGACUAAAGUUUAUAUAUAUUAUAUAAUUAUAUAUAUAAUUGAAAUAAAAUUUUUAAAAAAUAACAUCGAAAAGUAAAUCUAGCCUAUUUUAAUACGUAACUUUUGAUUUUCUAAAAUAAUAAAUAAAUAUUUUUUUAUAGUUGAUCAAAAAUUAAACAAUUUGACUAAUAUCACCGGUAGUUUUGAUAGACAUGAUGAUUAUGACCCACAUAAUUCCCAUAUUAAUUAUUAACAUGAGUACAUAUGACUAAUAAUUUAAACAGAUCUAGAAUAUCAGCAACCACACAGCAAGAAAAUUAGGCAAUAAAAAUAUCAGGCGUGCCAUUAAUUCUAUGUUAUGUUAUAUAUAGAUAAAAACCAGCUACUCCUUCACAGCAAAUUAGCCACUCUUGUACACAAGUAAAACCAAAACAAGAACUCUCAGGCUCAGGGGAGACUAGUAAUGGAAGAGCCACUGCUUGCAACGGCAAACAACUGCCUGGAUCAUCAAGGCUCAUCGUCCGAGGUUGCGGAAACUUCAUCAUCAUCAUCAUCGUUGCUAACAUGGGAGGUGAUUUCGAGUGAGAUCAAGAAGGUGGCUUACAUAGCAAUGCCAAUGGUGGUCACCACUGUUUCGCAGUACAUGUUGAGGGUCAUUUCUGUGAUGAUGAUCGGCCACCUUGGCGAGCUCUCGCUUUCGGGUGCUGCCAUCGCCACUUCUCUCACCAAUGUCACCGGCUUCAGUCUUCUGGUAGGUUGUUACUUGUUCAUGAUCUAUUUUUACACGACAAAGUGUCAUUAUUUUUUUAAACUCGUGUUAAGCAAUUUUACUUUUCCUCAAAGUCAAAUCUGCUAGAUGUUUUUGACAAUAUUGUGACGUUCACACAUAAAAAUAUUUGGCCAUGCAUGAUUAAAUUCGUUUCAUAUUAGAAAGAUGCACUUUGAUGAAUCAAAAUGUUGCUACGUUUGUGCCUUGAUUAACAGAGUACACUAUCAUCUGAAACACGACCUUAAUAAUGACUAAUACAUAGCGACAACAGAGUACUAUUAUGUAAAACACGACCUUGAUAAUGACUAAUACAUAGCGGCAACAGAGUACUAUUAUGUGAAACACGACCUUGAUAAUGACUAAUACACAGCGACUUGCUUUGUAUUUUAUCAGCUCGGGAUGGCAAGUGCACUGGAAACACUGUGUGGUCAAGCAUAUGGAGCACGAAGAUACCAGCUGAUGGGGAGCUAUACCUAUGGAGCCAUCAUAUCUCUGCUUUUAGUUUGUAUACCGAUAUCUAUUCUAUGGAUCUUCACG